rnacentral:rRNA from 1 species
CAGUCGCCGCGGGAAUACGGAGGGGGCUAGCGUUGUUCGGAAUUACUGGGCGUAAAGCGCACGUAGGCGGCUUGGUAAGUUAGAGGUGAAAGCCCGGAGCUCAACUCCGGAAUUGCCUUUAAGACUGCCGAGCUAGUAGGUGAGAGAGGUAAGUGGAAUUCCGAGUGUAGAGGUGAAAUUCGUAGAUAUUCGGAAGAACACCAGUGGCGAAGGCGGCUUACUGGCUCAUUCUAGACGCUGAGGUGCGAAAGCGUGGGGAGCAAACAGGAUUAGAUACCCCAGUAGUCCCUGUCUCUUAUAC